rnacentral:rRNA from 1 species
UAAUACGUAGGGUGCAAGCGUUAAUCGGAAUUACUGGGCGUAAAGCGUGCGCAGGCGGCUUCGCAAGACAGAGGUGAAAUCCCCGGGCUCAACCUGGGAACUGCCUUUGUGACUGCGAGGCUUGAGUAUGGCAGAGGGGGAUGGAAUUCCGCGUGUAGCAGUGAAAUGCGUAGAUAUGCGGAGGAACACCGAUGGCGAAGGCAGUCCCCUGGGCCUGUACUGACGCUCAUGCACGAAAGCGUGGGGAGCAAACAGGAUUAGAUACCCUGGUAGUCCACGCCCUAAACGAUGUCAACUGGUUGUUGGAGGGGUUUCUCUUCAGUAACGAAGCUAACGCGUGAAGUUGACCGCCUGGGGAGUACGGCCGCAAGGUUGAAACUUAAAUGAAUUGACGG